AACGAACGCUGGCGGCACGUUUUAAGCAUGCAAGUCGAAUGGCAGCAGGGGCAACUCUGUGAGAAAGGCGAACGGGUGAGUGACACGUAGGUGAUCUGCCUUGAGGAUGGGGAUAGCCUGUGGAAACACAGGGUAAUACCGAAUAAGCUGACGGGACUUUGGUUUUGUUAGUAAAGGUGCUACGGCACCGCCUUGAGAGGAGCCUGCGGCUGAUUAGCUAGUUGGUGGGGUAAAGGCCUACCAAGGCGACGAUCAGUAGCCGGCCUGAGAGGGUGUACGGACACACUGGGACUGAGACACGGCCCAGACUCCUACGGGAGGCAGCAGCUAAGAAUCUUCCGCAAUGGGCGAAAGCCUGACGGAGCGAUGCCGCGUGAUCGAUGAAGGUCGAGAGAUUGUAAAGAUCUUUUCUACAUGAGGAAUAAGUCUGGGAGGGAAUGCCUGGAUGAUGACGUUAGUGUAGGAAUAAGCCCCGGCUAAUUACGUGCCAGCCGCCGCCGUAA
rnacentral:rRNA from 1 species